GGUCUAAUAGUGUAGAGGUUAUCACACGGGAUUUUGAUUCCACUACUCCUCCUUCUUAAUUAAUCUCCUUCCCGUAACCCAGGUUCGAGUCCUGGUUAGACCU